CCUACGGGUGGCAGCAGUCGGGAAUAUUGGGCAAUGGAGGAGACUCUGACCCAGCAAUACCGCGUGAAGGAUGAAGGCUUUCGGAUUGUAAACUUCUGUUAUAAAGGACGAAAAAAAUGACGGUACCUUAUAAGUAAGCCACGGCAAACUAUGUGCCAGCAGCCGCGGUGAUACAUAGGGGGCAAGCGUUGUACGGAUUUACUGGGUGUAAAGGGUGUGUAGGUGGCUUAUUAAGUUAGAGGUGAAAGCCCGAAGCUCAACUUCGGAACUGCGUUUGAAACUGGUUGGCUUGAGUGUGGGAGAGGUUAGUGGAACUCCUAGUGUAGCGGUGGAAUGCGUAGAUAUUAGGAAGAACACCAGAGGCGAAGGCGGCUAACUGGAACAUUACUGACACUGAAACGCGAAAGCGUGGGGAGCAAACAGGAUUAGAUACCCUUGUAGUC
rnacentral:rRNA from 1 species